CAGGCUCCAAACCCAGUCUCAGUUUUUGUUGGCUCUGAACUCCACUGACCGCAGGAGCUGUAGGGAGGACGCCAGAGACUCCUCCCAAGUCGGAAAAUGGUGAGUACGGGAGCCAGGUGUCCCCAUAUCCGGGAGGACGGGCUUGUCGCAAUCACCAAGAACCGGCUGUGGCAGGACCGGCCUCUCCGGCGUCAGCUCCACACUCUGCGGCCGAGUCCGCAGCCGGCGCCGCUGGGCCCUCGGUCCCCUCCUGCCCAGGGUGGGGCUGGGCUGUCCGUCAGGACUCCCACGUCCUCUCUGUUCCCAGCGUGGCGACUUGGGCCCGGCCCCUGGCCCUGUCGCGCAGCGCUGUGCCCACAGCUCGCGUCUCCCGGGACCACGCAGUGAGGACCGGGGAGGCGCUUUUUGCAGAUCAGAAUGUUUUAAUUUCAUUGAAGUCUAGGUUAUCCGUUUUCUUAUUCUCACAUCAUGCUUUGGGUGUCACAUCUGAAACCUCAUUGCCAAACUCAAAGUCUUCUAGUUUCUGUUUACCUUCGAGAAGUUCUAAACUUUGCAUUUUACAUUUCGGUUUGUGGCCCAGUUUUAGUUUUGUGAAAGUUGUCAAGUCAAUUUCUUCACCUAUCAUGUCCAGGUGGUUCGGUAACGUUUAUUGAAAAGAUCAUACUUUAGUCAUUUAGUUUCUUUUGCUCCUUUGUCAAAGAACAAUGGAUUAUAGUUUUGUGGGCUUAUUUCUGUUAUUAUUAUUAUUUUUUUCCCUUCUAGUUUUCUGUCCUGUUCUGAGAUCAAUGUUUAUUUGUUAUCCACCUACCUCAGUCUCCCAGGCCGCUGGAAUUAUGGGUGUCACUCCCUGCUAGAAGAGUUUGUUGUUGUUGUUGUUGUUGUUACUGAUAAGGUAACUUGUUAGGAUUUUUAUUUGGAUUAUGUUGACUUUGCAAUUAAAAUGGAGAACAUCUUAAAAUAUUGAGGCUUCCUACUCGUGAUCAACUCCACAAAUUUAGUUUUUUUUUUUAAUUUUUUCACUACAAAUUUGUCGGUUUUGUUGUAUUUGUGACAAUCAUGUAUAAGUAUUUCUCUCUGUUUUUAUCUUUGAUGCUAUGCAAAUAAUGUUGUAUUUUUAAUUCCAAAUCCAGUUGUUCAUAGUUGAUAUACAGGAAAAUUAGGGACUUUUCUGUAUUGAUCUUGUGUUCUACAACUUUGCUAUAUUAGCUUAUUAGUUUCUUUUUUAAUAUUUACUUUUUAGUUGUGGUUAGAAACAAUAUCUUUAUUUUAUUUAUUUUUAUGUGGUGCUGAGGAUCGAACCCAGGGCCUCGCAUGUGCUAGGCAAGCACUCUAUCUGAGCCACAAUCCCAGCCCAGCUUAUUAGUUUCUUGAAGAUUUUACUGAUUCUUGGGAUUUUGUACAACCAAAGUCCAGUCCUGUCUUCUGUGGACAUUUAUGUUUAUUUAUUCUCAGUCUCAAUGGCUUUUCCUUCUGCUUUUUUGAAAUAAGGGUUCCUUUUUUUUUCUCUAUCUCUAUUUCUAUCUCUAGCUCUUUUUCUGUAUUGGGGAUUAAAACAGGGGUACUCUCCCACUGAGCCCAUCUCUAAGCCUUUUUUGAGACAGGGUCUGGAUACAUUGCUGAGGUUGGCCUCAACUUGCACUUGAGAUCUUCUGCCUCAGCCUCCCAAGGGCUGGGUGCUGUGUGGUUUUUCUGCAAGUAUUGAUAUGAUCAUAUGAUUUUUCUUAUUUCACUUGUUAAUAUAAUAGUUACGGAUUUUUGAGUUUUUUCUUUUGGGGUGCUAGGGAUUGAAUGUAGGUCCUUACACAUGGUAGGCAUGUGCUGUACCACAAUUUUUUGAUUGUUGAACUCAAUCAUCCCUACAAACCUGUAAUAAUCCCCAUCUGUUUGUAAUAUAUAAUUUAACAAAUAUAUUUUAAAAUUAACUUGCUAACAUAUAUUGAGAAUUUUAACAACUGUCUUUCUGUAGUUUUCCUUUUUUGUAGUGUCUUAUUUCUUUUUGUUAAUAGGGUAAUGUUGGCCUCAUUCCAUGAAUUAGGAAGUGUUUGCUUUUAUUUUCUGGAAGGAAUUUUGGAGAAUGGGAGUCAUUUCUUCCUUAAAUAUUUGGAAGAAUUCACCAGUGAGAUCAUUUGGGUCUUGGCCCUGCCUUUUUAUUUAUUUAUAUAUAUACACACACACACACACACACACAUAUACACUCACAUACAUAUAUACACACACACAUAUAUAUAUAUGUAUAUGUGUGUGUGUGUAUAUAUAUAUAUAUAUAUUUUUUUUUUAAGUUGUAGUUGGGGGUUACUGGGAUUGAAUUCAGAGGCACUUGACCACUGAGCCGCAUCCCCAGCCCUAUUUUGUAUUUUAUUUAGAGACAGGAUCUCACUGAGUUGCUUAGUGCCUCGUUUUUGCUGAGGCUGGCUUUGAACUCAUGAUCCUCCUGCUUCAGCCUCCUAAGCUGCUGGAAUUACUGGCAUACACCACUGCUCCUGGCUUUAAUUUUUGUACUUCUUUUGUCAAAUUGAAACCUAUACAUUUAUUCUUUGGGUGUUAAUUUAAACUCAUUUUUUAAGGGUAUUUUUAGGUAUUCCAUUGUAUGUGUGUUGAAGUACAAUAGAAUUUGUGUAUUUUGUUCUUUUUAUCUUGGUGAACAAAUAUUCAUCUUGGUUACUUCCAAGUUUUCAAAAUUAGUGCAUGAUGCUGCUCUCCACAGCUUGGUGCCAGUCUUUGUGUGGGCCUAUAUUUUCAACUCAUUUGAGUGCUAAUUUACAUGGGGAUUCAUCUUUGGGAGUUGGUUUGGGGUUGAGCCACAUGGGAUGGGGUUGAGAAUCAUUCCCUCUAUGAAAAUCAAGUGUCAAUGAGUAUGUGUGUGUGUGUGUGUGUGUGUAAUGAUUUUAAUGAUCACAUUACAGGAAAUAGCGGUGGAGUGUGACACUGGACAUUUUCAUUUAUCCACUUUUUUGUUUGCUAAGGUGAUCACCAGUUGGUUUACCUAAUUGUCUAUUUAUCCUUCUAAUAAAUGUCAGAGUCAUCUACUUGACAUUUUAUUUGGCUAUUUCCUCAUUACAACAAUGGGAUUUUUUCUAUAACUUGUUUUUCAUCUUCUGUCAAAUAUGUUUUGGUUAUUUACCAUUUUUAAGCAUGUGCUCAUCAUAUUUACUCUGCAUGUGAAUCCUUUUAUAUUGCAUGUAUUGCAGAUUUCUCUAUUCUGUUUUUGUCUUUUUUUAAAAUAUUUUUUGUUGUUGUUGCUAACGGACCUUUAUUUUCAUCUAUUUAUAUGUGGUGCUGAGAAUCAAACCCAGUGCCUCACACUUGCUAGGCAAGUGCUCUACCACUGAGCCACAACCCCCACCCUGUUUUUGUCUUUUAACUGUCUUGAUUUUAGAAUAUUUUAAUUUUUUAUUUUCUUUUUUUCUUAGCACUGGAGAUUGAACCCAAGGCCUCACACAUGCUAGAGAAGUGAUCUACCACUGAGCUACAUCCCCAGCCUCAGUUCCUUUCUCUAUGGCUUAUUCUUCAUGUUAUUUGAAAAUUAUCUUACCUAUUACAUCCAAGAAACUAGUGACUGCUAAAGGUGUUCUAUAUUUAUUUUUUAUAUUUGAAUCUACAAUGGAUUGAUUAGUAUCCACAAUAUAGGAGGGAAUGGAAUGCAUAUUUCAAGUAGAGACCAGUUUGUCUUGCUCCAUGUUUUAAAGUGCUUGUGCUCUCUCCCAGAGCUCCAGAGUGCCUGCUGUAUUAUUACUAUUAUUAUCAUUGGUGGGUACAAGGCAUUGACCUGAGGGCCUUGUGCAUGCUAGGCAAGUGCUCUACCACUAAACUAUACCCCCAGACCCAUCUACUCUAUUAUUAAUCAACAUUCUAUACAAAUGCCAGCUCUUGGUAGAUGCCUUUCCUUUUGUCUAUUUGUUUUCUGCUAAUACUAGGCUGCUCUGAAUAUUAGGUUUGUGAGGCAAGCCAUCACUCUCCUUCAGAAAACUUUGAUCAUUGUUAGACAUUUGUUAUUCCUUUUAGUUUAUAAAAACAAACUACUGAAGAGUCUGCUUUGGAGAGUUAUGGGAUUUUUGUGAGAUAUGGUUUGGAAGAGGUGAUAUCAAUGAUGAUAUUGAGUUCUUUCCAAGAACAUGUAUCAUCCACCCACCGAUUUGAUUCUGCUUUGACAUGGCUCAAUAGAAAUUCAAAAGUUGUUCUGUUAGGUUCAUUAAAUAUUGAUCACUUAUUAUACUUAGUACUUUAUUAAAUUUGGCCUGGAGUAAAGUGUUUAUACGUCCCCAAAGGAUAUCUCUUGUUGUAAUCACAUAGGAUGAACUCAGUUCCCCAAUGGACAAGUUGUGACAACAUGCAUGAAAUAGUGUCUACCAGGUAAUUAGCUCGUUAGACACUCAGUGUGCAUAGUGUUUAUGGGAUCUAAUUCUCUAGGCACCACUGUGAGCAUGGAACAAAUUAAUAGACAUUCAGAAGAGAAACAAGAGUUCAUAAACUGCUAUGGUAUUUACAUAGAUCAUUUAGGCACAAUGAAACAUUCUUAUUAUUUAUGUUAGCAAAUCACUCCCAAGUUUCAAGUUCACUGGUACUAGCAAAGUUUGAACUAUGUGAGUAGACUUAAGACUACCUUUUUUUUUUUUUUUUUCAUCAGGGAUUGAAUCCAGGGGUGCUUAACCAAGGAGCCACAUCUCCACCCCUUUUUAUUUUUCAUUUUGAGACAAGGUCUUGAUAGGUUACUUAGGGUCUUGCUAAGUUGCUGAGGCUGGUUUUGAUCUUGUGAUCCUCCUGCCUCAGUCUCUCAAGUCACUGGGAUUACAGGUAUGUGCCACCAUGCCAUGCUAAUGUUAACUCUUCAUAUCAGGUGGUAGGGCUUUGUUAUGAUAGAUACUAAAGUCCAUCUCUACAAAGAGAAAUGAAAGUGACCCAACAGCACAUCGUACUUUCUGAGUCCUCUAAUGAGAAGGGCUCCUACUUGCUAUUUCCUUUCUGAAUAGCUCAAUUCUAGUACUAGAACUGCUGUGUGGGAGGGAGUAUCAUCCAAGGCAAGAAUUCUCAUGACCAAGUCAUGAUGGAAAUGUUUGGAAACCAUAGAAUCAUGUGACCCUCUUAUGAAUUGAGUGUAGGUUCUGGUCAGUCGGACUCAUUCUCCUGUACAUGUAUGUGGAAUGUUUUAGGACUCAGUGGCUUUUCAGGAUGUGGCUGUGGACUUCACCCAGGCAGAGUGGGCUUUGUUGGAUCCUUCCCAGAAGAAUCUCUACAGAGAUGUGAUGCGGGAAACUUUCAGAAACCUGGCUUCUAUAGGUAAGACCAACAUCAUUCCUUUACCUAGUCAGUUAUAGCACAAAUGUUUCUUGGUCGUGCAUGUGGUUCUGUGAUUGGAAUGUAAAAAUGGAAGAAUUUGGUGAAUGAGUCAGAAAAGGGAAGAAUUUGGUGAAGAAUCAGGCAUUGUUACAGUGUACAUUGAAACUAGAAAUGAAUAAUUUUUCUAAAAUUUCUUCGUUUUCUUCUUCUUCUUUUUUUUUUUUUGGUGGUGGUGGUGGUACUAGUAAUUAAACCCAGGGAUACUCUACUAUUGAGCUACAUCCCUAGUCCUUUUUUAUUUUUUUAAACUUUGAGCCAGCAUUUCACUACAUUGCCUAGAAUGGCCUUGAACUUGCCAUGCUCCUUCCUGAGCCUAAGUAGUAGCUGUAAUUACAGAUGUGUACCACUGCACCUGACAGUUAACAAUUCUUCUACAACUUUUAAUAAUUCACGAUAAUUUUUCUUUGUCCACAUUUUAGGAAACAAGUGGAAAAACCAGAACAUUGAAGACCAGUUUAAAAUUCCAGGGAGAAAUUUAAGGUAAUUUGCAGGUAUAAGAGGAAAAAAAAGUCCUUUUAAGAAAUCCUAGCAUGUCAUAGAAUUUUAAAAACAAUUAAAACAAAUACAAUUUUUUUUUUCUGGUACUGGGGAUUGAACUCAGGGGCAUUCAACCAGUAAGCCACAUCCCCAACCCUAUUUUGUAUUUUAUUUAUAGACAGGGUCUCACUGAGUUGCUUAGUGCCUCGCAGUUGCUGAGGCUGGCUUUGAACUUGCAAUUUUCCUGUUUCAGCCUCCCAAGCUGCUGGGAUUACACCUGCCUGGCAAAAACAAAUACAUUUUUAAGUUUAUUUAUCAUUAGAAAAUUUUCAGUGAAGCUACUGUGUACUUAAAUGUAACAAAGAUGUUCAGUGCUUACAAAAUAGUUCAUUUGUAAACUAAGUACUAAGAAACUGAAUGUUGCUGUUUUGAUAAUAGCCAAGUGGGAUUCAUGUUGCAGAGUAUUUGGUCCAUGUACUUUUAAGUCUUUUUGCCACCGGAGGGAAAAAAAUGUACCCUGUCCUUGAUGUGAGGAGCAAUGGAACUCCAACACUUACUAAUAAAUACAUUUUAAUAAUUGAACCCUUGCUAAUGCAUUUGUCAUUUUUUUAUAGAAGUUAUGUAGUAGAGAGACCCUGUGAAAGUGAAGAAGGUGGUCAGUGUGGUGAAACCUUCAUCCAGGCUCUAAAUCUUAAUCAGAGCAAGAAAAUUCCUGCUGGAGUAAAACCAUGUAAAUGCAGUGUGUGUGGAAAAGUUUUCCUAUGUCUUUCAUCUCUCAAGAGGCAUCUGAAAUCUCACUCCAGAUACAAGGCACUUGAGUGUAAGGAAUAUGGAGAGAAGCCACAUAAAUGUGAACAGUGUGGGAAAACCUUCAUUUCUCUCAGAAGUGUUGGAAGACAUAUGGUGACCCACAGGAUAAAAGGCCCUUAUACUUGUGAGUUAUGUUUGAAAGUCUUUGAUUCCCCCAGUUCAUUUCAAAUACAUCAACAAACUCACACUGGAGCCAAACCCUCUGACAGCAAGCAGUGUGGGAAGACCUUUCUUUGUUCUAGUUCAUUUCAACUACCUGGCAGAAUUCACACUGUAAAAAAAUCUUAUGAAUGCAAACAGUGUGGCAAAACCCUCAGUUCUUCCUGUUCCCUUCGAAGGCAUGAAAGAAGUCAUAAUGGAGAAAAACCCUAUGAGUGUAAACAGUGUGGUAAGGCCUUCACACGUCAUGGUUACUUUCGAGAACAUGAAAGAAUUCAUACUGAAGCAAAAACCUAUGAAUGCAAACAGUGUGGUAAAGCUCUCAGUUCUUCCAAUUCCCUUCGAAUCCAUGAGAGAACUCACACUGGAGAAAAACCCUAUGAGUGUAAACAAUGCGGGGAAGCUUUCAGAUGGCACAGUGACCUUCGAAAACACGUGCGAUUUCAUAUUGAAGAAAAUCCCUUUGAAUGUAAAAAAUGUGGCAAAGCACUAAGUUCUCCCAAUUCCCUUCGAAUACAUGAAAGAACUCACACAGGAGAAAAGCCCUAUGAGUGUAAACAGUGUGGAAAAGUCUUCCGAUUUCAGACUUCCCUUAUAAGGCACGAAAGAGCGCAUGCUGGAGACAAAUCCUAUGAGUGUAUACAGUGUGGCAAAACUCUCAGUUGUUCAAAUUCCCUUCAAGUUCAUGAAAGAAUUCAUAAUAAAGCACGACCCUAUCAGUGUAAGCAGUGCGGCGAAGCCUUCAGAUUUCAUGUGGCUCUUAAAAUGCAUGAAAGAACCCACGCUGGAUAUAAACCUUACGACUGUCAACAAUGUGGUAAAGCCUUCAGAUGCCGCGGCUAUCUUCGAAAACACGAAAGGAUUCACACUGAAGUCAAUCCCUAUGAAUGUAAACAGUGCGGCAAGGUGCUCAGCUGUCCCAGUUCCCUGCGAUAUCAUGAGAGGGCUCACACAGGAGAAAAACCCUCUGUGUGUAAACAAUGUGGUAAGAGGCUCAGUUGUUCCAGUGCCCUCCAAAAACACAAAAGAAUUCACACUGACAGAAAAACCCUGUGAAUGUCAACAGCAUAGAAAACCCUUCAGAUUUUCCGUUCGUCUUCAGAUGUGUGAAAGAAUUCAUGGAGGGGAAUACUGGGAUGAUAAAAACUUGUGGUGAAGGCAUCAGUUUUUUCAGAUCUUUUUGAAUACAUGGCAAGACUCACACUGGAGAAUAGCCUUAUGAAUGUAUGAAAUUUGUUAAAGCCAUCAUUUGUUCUAGUUCCAUUUGAAGAUAACAAAAAAAAAAAAAUGCAUUCAGCAGAAAAUCUCUAUAAAGGGCUGGUGGCUGUACCUUCAAAGGCCCAUAAUGCACACUGAAGAUAGAUGUUAUACAUAUCAGACUCCAGUAGUUUGGAAAAUAAGGGAAAGCUUUUGAUUUUUAUGAUUGCUUUAAAAGUCAAUAGGAAAACUCCCAUUUGAAAGAAAUCUCAUAAAUGUAGGUGAUAUUGAAAUCUUAAUGCAAAUUAAUUAUUACAUAAUGUUCAGUUUCUCUACAUGAACAAAAUUUACAUAAAUUAUGAAUAUAAUAUGUUUAUCAGUGGCUCAUAGUUAAAAGUUCUCUGGUUUGCAUAUUUCCAUUUCUUUGUAAGGAUACAUAAAGGUGAGGAUUCUAUAGGUGUAGUUGUGUCAGUUAACAAAGGGAUAAAUUCAGAGAAAUGCCUCGUUAGGCAAUCUAAUUGCUGUGUGAAGAUAAUAAAGUGUACUUAGACAAAUCUUAGAUGGUAUAGUGAACUACCAACAGACUUAGGCUAAAUGCUGUUGCCUGUUUCUUUUGGGCUCCAAACUUGUACAUUAUUGUAUUUAGUACUGUAGGCAACAGUAACACAAUGAUAAGUAUUUGUGUAUCUAAACACACUGAAAAAUAGAAAAGCUACAGUAAGGAUAUAGUAUAAAAGAUCAGGGUAGGGUGGCCCGUGAUUGUAAUCCCAGCUGCUUGUGAAGCUGAGGCAGGAGGAUCACAGUUCAAGGUCAACCUGGGUAGUUUCUUGAGAUCCUGUAUCAAAGUGAAAAAUGAAAAGGUCUAGGGGAGUAGCUCAAUGGGUCGAGGGUCCCUGGCUUUGAUCUCCAGUACUGCAAAAAUAAAAUAAAAGAUAUACCUGUGCAAGAUACUUCCUGCGUACAGAACUUGCUGGAGUACUGGUGGGAGUCUGCUGGGCGAGUUUGAGUGAGCGAUCAGUGACUGAAUGUGAAGGCCUAGGAUGUUGCUGGACACUGCUGUUGACUUUAUAAACACCUGCACUUAUGUUAUACUAAAUUUAUAAAAAUAAUUUUAUCAGCAAGAAUAAAUUAACCUUAGGUUAGUGUAACUUUGUCACUUAAUAAACAAUUUUUUCAUCUUUUUCACUGUUCUGUAAUAAACACAUAGCUUAAAACACAAGAUGUCUGUAUAAAACUUUUGUUUAUAUCUAUUAUAUAAGCAUUUAUCCAUUUUAAUGUUUAUUGUUUACUUUUUAAUGUAUUUUGUUAAAGACUAAGAAACAAACGCAUUAGUCUAGGCUCACACAGCUCCAGAAUCACCAGUGUCAGUGUCUCCACCUCCUCAUCUGGCCCAGUGGACAUUCUUUAAGAGCAGCAACAUUUGGAACUGUCAUUUCCUAUCAUGACAGUGCUUUCUGCUGGAACUCUUUUUGCUGUUGUUGGUACUGGGGAUUGAACCCAGGGGUGCUCUAUCACUGAGCUAUAUCCCCAGCUCCCCACUCCCCUCUUUUUUUUUUUUUUUAAUUUUUUGUAGUGGUAGAUGGACACAAUGCCUUUAUUUUAUUUGUUUAUUUUUAUGUGGUGCUAAGGAUCGAACCCAGUGCCUCACACAUGCUAGGCAAGCACUCUGCCACUGAGCUACAGCACCAGCCCACGCCCCCCAGCCCUUUUUAUUUUUUACUUUGAGAUAGAAUUCUCUAAGUUGCCCAGGCUGACCUCUAACUUGUGAUCCUCCUGCCUCAGCCUCUCAGGUUGCAGGGGUUACAGGCAUGUGCCAUCAUCCCCACUGAAAUCUUCUGAAGGACGUGCAUGUCUGAGGCUCCUCUUGGGAAAUGUGACUCUUUUCAUAAAUGUGUACAUGAUGCUUUUCUUGGUUUCCUUUUUAUCAUAGACUUGCUUGUAAGCAGAUAAUAUACCAUGAAUAUUCCUCUCUGUUGAUGAAAACUUUUUGUUAUGGGGUCCAUGUUUUUAGGCUUAAAGGAUCUUAAAGUCUACAGAAGUUUCUACUAAACUGCUUACCAUGAAUUUUCUUGGGUGUUUUCUUAUUUUCCUUCAGUUGUUUUGUUUCUUGUCUGUUCAUCUAUGCAUUGAUUAUAUGAUAGGCAUUUUGUGGGGGUGGGUACUGGGUAUUGAAAUUAAGCGUACUUUGCUAGUGAGCUACAUCCCCAAUCCUUUUUAUUUUUUAUUUUGAGGCAGGGUGUUGCUAAGUUGCUGAGGAUCCUGCUAAAUAGCCCAGGCUGGCCUUGUACAUGCAAUCCUCCUGCCUCAGCCUCCCGGGUUGCUGGGAUUACAGGCAUGUGCUACUGCGCCUAGCUGUGAUAGGCAUUUUUUAAAAAAUAUGUUUUUAGUUGUAGUUGGACACAAUGCCUUUAUUUUAUUUAUUUCUAUGUGGUACUAAGGAUCAAACCCAGGGCUUCUACAUGUGCUAGGCGAGUGCUGUACUGCUGAGCCACAGCCCCAGCUCCUGUGAUGGGCAUUUUUAAGACCCAUUAUAAUGUUAUAGGCUCACCAUUGUAUAUGAGAUCCGUUGUUGACUGAAAUGUGUGAUAUAAGACUGUACUCUUCUAAGUAAUUAUGCUUGAGUUUAAUGCGUAGUAUCUUAAGUCAGUUAACAAAACUUUUCUCUAUCAACUUUAAAGUGUGUUGGAUCCAUGUUUUAGUUGAAAUGUAUUUCUAAUAUAUAAGUAGGCUCAAUAUUUAUAUAAUUGUCUUAAGUGGUCUGUGAUUGAUGGAUGGGCCACUGAAAAAUAAGUCUCUGUUAUUUGGGGGGAUUUUCCUACUGUUGUGUGGCAGCUUCUGUAUUGUCACACAUUAUAUGUCUUUUACUUUUUCUAUGGGAAAAGCUACCUUUUUGAAGGGGCAUGGAAUUUAUUUCAUUUGUUUUUUGCUAAUAAAGAUUAGGUAUUGGGCUGGGUUUAUGGCUCCACAAUAGAGCGCUCACCUCGCACGUGCGCAACACUGGGUUUAUCCUCACCACCACCUAAAAAUAAAUAAAUAAAAUAAAGAAAUUGUGUCCAACUACAAUUUAAAAAAAUAAAAAAGAUUAGGUAUCAUAGUCUGAGGAUAUACCUCAGUGGUAGAGUGCUUACCCAGCAUGCCCAAGGACCUGAGUUCAAUCCCUAGUACUGCAAUAAAAAGAAAACCGUAGAUGCCGUAGCCAGGUGUGGUGGCACAUGCCUAUAAUCCAAGCUACUUGAAGGCUGAAGCAGGAGGAUUGCAAGUUUGAGGCCAGCUUUGGCAAUUUGGUGAGAUCCAGUUUUAAAAAAUAAGGGUUGGGUGUGUAGCUUAGUGGAAAAGCACCCCCAGGUUCAAUCCCCAGUAUCUUGGGGGAAAACAGAUAAAAGAGAGUUGAUAACUAUUUUUAAGUAUGUCAAGUUUAUCACAUACUCUUAGGUGAAUUAUUUUAACUGUUGCCUUUUACUUUUUAAAAUACUUUUAGUUGUAGAUGGACACAAUACCUUUAUUUAAUUUACUUUUUAAAAUGUGGUGCUGAGGAUUUAACCCAGUCCCUCACAUGUGCUAGGCAAGUGCUCUACCACUGAACUACACCCCAGCCUUGUUGCCUUUUAUUUUUUAUCAUUAUUUCUGGCUGUUACUUGUAUAAUUCACCUUGGAUUAAGGAGAAAGACCUGUGGAAGAAUUACAUGUUUGUCUAAUCUGAGGGAGAAAGCUUUCAAUCUCACCAUCAAGAAUAACGUUAGCUGUAGGGUUUUUGUUUGUUGUUUUUAUAACAGUACUAAGAUAUUCUACCACUGAGCUACACUAAUUUUGGGGACAAGAUCUUGCUAAUUUGCUGAGUCUGACCUUGAACUUGUGAUCUUCCUGCCUCAGCCUCCUGAGAAGCGGGGAUUAUAGGUGGUGCCAUCAUGCUCUAAGAGUGGGUUUUUUAAUCAAUGCUGUAAAGCACAUUUAGAAAGUUCCCUUCAGUUCAUUUUUUUAAAAACUGGGAUUGAACCCAGGGUCGCUUUAUCAUUGAGCUACAUCCCCAGGCCUAUUCAGAUAGAGGCUCACCAAGUUGCAGAGACUGGCCAUGAACUGGCAAUCUUCCUGCUUUAGCCUCCUGGUGGAGGUGGGGGGGGGCUGGAAUUGCAGAUGUGACGAUGGUGUGUUUUAUUAUGAAAGGGUGUUGAUAUUUUUUUGUAUGUUUUUUCUGUAUCUCUUGAGAUGAACUUGUGGUUUUUGACAUUUAUUCUAAUAAGUUGAAUUAUAUUCAUUGACGUUCAUAUAUGAAAACAGCACUGCUUUUGUAAGUUAAAUUUCUCUUAGGGAGUAUAAGUCUUUAUAUAUUGGUAGAUUUGCUUUUCUAGUAUCUUAUUGAGGCUUUUUGCAUCUAUAUUGAAAGAGUUUUGUGUACAUUAACAGCAUAUAGCAUUAUCUAGUACCUGAAGUAUGUACAUGUGUGUAUAAGCAUGUAUAUAAUAUGUAGUAUGUAGUAUAGUUUUGUAUAUAAAUAGCAUAUAUAUGACUAGAUUGUAUAGCAUGUAAUUAAAAUGCAAUUAGUAUAGAAUAUAGUAUACUGUAGCAUUAUAGGAUUAGUCAUCAGUCUAUAAUCAUGCAUUUCUGUUCGCUGUUGGAUGACAAAAUUUUUCCAACAAACCUUUCACAUUCUCUCCUGAGAACCAAGAAGUAUCUCAACUUGAUACCCAAAGCCUUCUCCCAUCCCACCUGCUCUGUGCUCUGAAGUGUAGUCCCUGGGCAGGACUACAUGCCUUCCAGUACCUUCCACAUCCUCACUGUGAGGGUCACUAACUGAUAAGCUCCUGACAACCUUAUCUGUGCAGCAGUGGUGAAACAGAGCUCCGGCACUUGCUCAUCUGAAGGAUGUGCCAAGGGAAUUAAGACAGACAUGUUAUCUGAUGAAGCACAGCCUAGUCUACAUGUUUAUCACCUGAGUUUUGUUUCUAUAAAUUGUAAUCAUUUCUAUUAAUCUAGCUCUUCUCCCCAGUUUGAUCAAAAUGUACAAAAUUUCUUUUUUUCUUUUUUUCUUUUCCAUUGUUCAUUUCUCAUGUGGGUAGACAGCCAAAUCUGGCCACCCAGGUUCAGGCUGGCUCCCUGACUGGGUUGCAGGUAAUGAUGGAUGUCAUGAGUUCAAAUCUCAGCAGCCCUAAGCUGCUAAUUUCUCCCUCACCAAUGGAGUGAGUGUGAGGCUACGUAAACAAAUGGCAAGAAAUACAGGAUGGACCAACUGUGACCAAGGACAUUACUCAAUUUUAGCUAACAACUCUGGGCUACCUGACUCCAUAAUACAGUCAAUGUCACCUGAGUGACAACCACCAACGGCUUGUUGGCUUUCACUUUGGUCUACACAGGGCUUUGUGUUCUGUGUCAAGUGUGGCCACUUUGUCCCAUGUUGAAACACUCAUCUGGACACAAAUGGCUAAUUGACUGACUGCUGCAAUGUGACUUGAUAGGUUCAUCGUAGUUGGUAAGGAGUUUUUGAGGCACUCACCUAUCAAGGCAGCAAAAGCAUCACCUUAACUUGAUUGGUACUUCAGUCCUGAUUGCCAAGAAUCUGGUGACUGCUCAGUGGUCAUUGCAUCUACUCUGGUUGUCACUUCUGGAUGCUUGGCAUGGCCAUGUAAAAUUGUUUAUUAUUGUAUAUCCUUGCAGUAUGCUCAUGGAUGAUUGUGAAGUCGCAAAAAAGAGACCUUUUGUUUGUACUGGGGAUUGAACCCAGGGGCACUUAACCACUGAGUCACAUCCCCAGCCCUUUAAUUUUUUUUUUUUUAAUUUAGAGAUAGGAUCUCACUAAAUUGCUGAGGGCCUUGCUAAGUUGUUGAGAGUGGCUUUGAACCUGCAAUCUUCCUGCUGAUGGGAUUACAAGCAUGCACCACGGUGCCCAGACCACAGAAUUAAGUAUUUUACCCAGUUGCCUAGAAAGAGUCAUUGUACAGGCAAGAGUAGCAGGAAUGACUUUCUGGUGCUGCUGAUUCCCUUGCUGUAAUGUGCACUCCCGGAUCCCCAAGGGUAUUGGAAAUAAAGGAAAGGGGGUUAACCCCUCCUAAUUUUAAGUGGGCACAAUAUCUUUAUUUAUCUUUAUGUGGUGCUGAGGAUUGAACCCAGUGCCUUUCGCAUGCCAGGCCAGCGCGCUACCACUUGAGCCACAUCCCCAGCCCAGGAACUAGUUUUUAAAUAGAAGAUAUGUGACUCUUUUCCCAGUGCAAAACCCCUAGCCAGUAUAUGGGCUUUCCUUAGCACUGUUGAUCACCAGCAUGCCCAAGUACAAAUCUUAGGAUCACAAGGCUUGAAGGCCUUCGACAAAAAUGACCUUAUUGUUUGUGGACUCUCACCCAAGGAAGGCUGAGUGGCACUUCCUGGAAGCUGAAGUUCUUGCCCUUUAUCUAUAGGGAACUCAAAUAAGAACUCAAACCUGGGAUUGGGGAUAUAACUUAGUGGUAGAGUACUUGUCUCAUGCAUAAGGCCCUGAGUUUAAUCCUUAGCAGUGCAAAAAAAAAAAACCCUCUAUAAUUUUGGAGUUUCUGUAUAAAAAAACAAAUAUACUUUUAACCAUGCAAAAACAUCUUGCCUAAAUUAUCCAUAUUAUGAAACUCAUUGUGCUAAGAUAUCCCUUAAUCUUCAUGGAUUCCAUUCCCUGAUCUAGUGAGUAAUGGAUUAAAAUUGAGUAUUUACCAUUUCCAAAUAUUCUUGACAAAACGGCAGUCCCUUCACCCCCACCAGUUAAAAUAAGGUUACAAUGGCUAAAUGUGAAUUUUUUUUUUUGGAAUAUAUAAGUUUUGGGAAGGUUAUUGAGUAUUGAUUCCAUUUCAUUAAUAGACAUAGAUCUGUUCAGAUAACCUACUCUUUUGUCAGUUUUAGUAGACUAUAUCUUUGAAGUAAUUGGUUCACUUGAUUUGUGGUCAUGGAGUCCUUCCUAAUAUUCUUUUAUUAUUCUUUCAGGGUCUAUGAGAGGAGGUAUGAUGUCCUCUCUUUUAUUUAUUUAUUUUUUUCCAGAGAAUUUUAAGAAUAUUCUACAUGCCCUAGAAGGGUAUUUCUUGUCCCUGGCCCAUUCCACACUCUCGCUCUCCUCCUGGCUGCCAUGAGCUUGACAGUUCUCCAUCUCGCCCUUCUACAAUGGUGUCGUGCCUCACCUGAGGCCCAGAGCAAUGGAACCAGCCAACCGUGGACUGAGACCUCUGAAAUGGAGGCUAAAUAAGUCUUUCCUCCUUUAACUUGUUAUUGUCAGGUGCUUGGGUUACGGGGAUGAAAAACUAACACAAUGUUUAAACCAUUAGGUCACAUCACUACAGUCUGCCCAACUGAUUCAUCUCCUUUUUCAGGUGAAUUUCCAUGAGAAGUAUAGACGGUCUGCAUGAUCCAAGCCAUGUGUGAGUCUCCUUGGCUCUUACAGACAAAUACAAAUCACCAAUAGAAGUUUAUUGACCAUUGUUUCAAGAAUUUCAAUGUCCUUUAUCCUAAUUUACUGUUUCCCUCUUGCAUUCACAACCACUCAGCUGGUUUCCAUGAUGAGAAACAGUGUGUUGGGUUUGCUUUUUGUUUGCCUUAAAAAUUCUUUUUAUUGGGAUAAAAUUUACAUUUCACAAAAUUCAACAUAUAACCAUUUUAAAGUACAAAAUGCAAACUUUUUUUGUUUUAUUCACAAUGACACAUAGCCAACACCACUAUCAAAUUCCAGAUCACUUUCAUCAAUCCCUCAAAAAAAUCUCACAGCCAUCAAAGAAUCACUUAUCACAAGUCAAUAAAGACUUGUCUAUUGUGGGGAAUUCACACAACAGCAUCAUACUGAUGUGGCUUUUUAUAGUCCAUCUUUGCUCAGUGAGCAUGGCAUUUCAUGAGCUUAUCAAUGUUGUAGCACAUAUCAUUCAGUCCUUUCCAUGACUGCAUAUUGCAUUGUGUGACUCUCUCACAGUUUGUCUAUCUAGUCAUACAUUGAUGUACAUCUGGAUUUUUCCUACUUUCUUUUUUUUUUUUAUACUUGGAUUGAACCUAGGGGCACUUAACCACUGAGCCACAUCCCCAUCUUUUUUUGUAUUUUAUUUAGAGACAGGAUCUCACUGAGUUGUUUAGGACCUCACUAAAUUUUGAGGCUGACUUUGAACUUGCAAUCCUCCUGCUUCAGCCCCCCAAGCAGCUGGGAUUACAGGCAUGCACUACCAUGCCCGGAUUUUUCCACUUUGGGAGUUUUGCUAUUAUGCAUAAUGUUUCUUUUAACCUUCAUAUACAGGUUUUUGUGUGGAAAUGUUCUCAUUUCUUUUGGUUAUGUAGUUAGUAGUGGUAUUGCUGGGCCAUGUGGUAAACCUUCUAUGGAACUGACAAACUGUUUUUCAAAGGAGCUGCCUCAUUUUGUAAUAACACCAGCAGUUUAAAGUGGUUCUGAUUUCUCUGCAUAUCCAUACUUAUUAUUGUCUUUUGACAAUUAGAUGUAGUGAUUAUACUAUGAUUUUCCCUAAUGAAUAAGUUUUAUAGGCAUCUUUUCAUAUAGUCAUUGGC
rnacentral:lncRNA from 1 species